rnacentral:lncRNA from 1 species
AAAAGUUGCAGCACAGUGUGUCACCAGAGAGGAACAGAAAAUCCUUGCUGUGCCAAGAAGGAAAAGACCAUGGAUCUACUAGCUGCAGAUUUCAGCAGUAAUGCCAAGGGGGCAAGAAGUGACCAGCAGAACAAUUAGGCCAUGGCAACAGAAGCCAACUACAACCCAUGUUCCAAUCUAUGACCUCCCUCUCCUGCUGGUACAAGGACGUGAAUGUGGCUGUAGCAUCAUUUUUGGAAGCCAGAAUGGUAAUACUGAAAAAUCACUGCUUGUCUCAAGAUCCAACUUCUGGAAAUCUCAACCAUUCUGAAUACAGCCAUCAUUCUUAAAAUUGAAGAGAACUGUUUUACAAGAUCUUGACUUAUAAAGAAAGCAAGUUUAUUAAGGGCAAGAGCUGAUAAUCAACUGACUAAUGAGGAUUGACUUCUACAAUUGAUGAGCAUGGAAUUGGAUGUGCCUAAAUCAACAGAAGAGGGUUUUUGAUGUCAUCACACUGUAGCCCCAGAAGACAGAACUCUCAAAGGUGUCAAUGGGCAGAAUUUGUAGAUGACAUACAGCAUCCAAUGGAUUACUCCUAUUCAGGAUAAUGGAAGAAAAAGGUUCUUACCCUUCAGCAGAUAGCAUGCUGAGCCCUGAACAAAUUUUAUGACUUCUGGUGCAAAGCAGACCCAGUCAGCUUGCCUCUAGCAACUGGUUAAUAGUACUCCAAGAAAACCACACUUAAAAUUCUUGGAAGUUCCUUUACCAUCACAUCAAGUUGCAUUUUGAAGCUAAAGCCCUUCGAAUCCAUUUAUACCUUGUGAUAUUCCCUUGCCAGAUUGUUGUUUCGUUUGAUAGACAUGAUUUUAGGAUUUUGUCAAGGAAGCCAUCUAUGACCCCAAUCAAUCAAAACCAUAAGGAUCAGGGCUGGAAGAACCUGUUCCUUAGAGCAAAGGAUGCAAUGUCAAGCAAGUUGUGAUACCUCAACUAUCUACAAUUUAACACCAAUGAAAGAACACUGUUUGGAGAAAUGAGAAAGAUUAUCAUCAGUGUCUUUCAGAAGUCAUCAAAGGAAGAAAAGGACAAAAGAGAGGAGAAAGCAGAAAGCUCUGGAGUCUGGGAAGUUCAAGAGCAUGGCACCAGCAUCUGGCAAGGGCUUUCAUGCUGCAUCAUCUCAUGGAGGAAAAUAAAAGGAUUUCAGGUGAAUCCAGAUUUGGAGCUUGAAUGACUCAAAUGCUUUGCCUACAUUGAUCCUACAUUCAGGCUGCUUACAUAUCUCUUGGCUUCUCUGAGAACCAGACUGUCACCACUCAAAGUGUCUUCCAGAGUCCUCAUGAGUAUCAGAGAAGGCAUAAUCCGUACACGUGGCUUCAUUUAAAAUGAAAAUAUCAAGCAGUGUCAUUUUCACAAGUAUCCCCACACUGUCUGAGGCUGAGAAGAAGAGUGUAGCUACGCACACUGCAGUGAGAAGAAAAUUUCAGCUCAAUUGGACGAUGUAAAGAUUGAAAUAUCACUGCUCCUAGUUCUGAUGCAAAAUUGAAAAGAGUGCACUGGGUCUUCAAAUGGCAGAUAGACAAGGAGAAAGAGGAAAGCAUGCCCCAGGACAGCCUGGGGGUCAAGGCUGGGCUCAGGCAUGCCUGGACAAGCCAUGCAAGUUGUCUCUGGACUUGAACCAUGUAUCAGAGGAGCUAUUUGAGGAGCCACAUCAGCAUACCUGCUUCUAUGGGCCCCCAGGGUGUGGUGCUCAGCCCUCGCACCAUGAAACUUUUUUUUUCCAGAAGCCAAAGCUUUGAGCAUCUCCUCCCAUAUAGUGUAUAUGUUUACGUCCAUGUCUUUCGCCAUGUGAACGCAUGCAACCACCACCUCAAAUAUCAUAAAUCCUCCCUCUCCCCCUUUCUGUCUGCCUGUUUAUCUACAAUCUGUCUAUUUAAAUUCUUUUUAAACAAGAAGGGAAUAUCUUUAUGCCUGUUUGUAGGGAUAUUCUACAUCCAUCUGUUAUUUACAUCAUUCGUUUUCCUGAGGUGUCUCCAACAAAUCCUGGCUGGAUGCACUGUAUGUGUUAUUAAUAAAACAGCUGUAAAAAU